AAAGCAAUGGCUCUACGAUGCUCACUAGAAAGUUCAGCACACGUUGACGAAAAGACAUACGAUCUGAGUUGUUUGUAAAGAACCGUGGGAUGUAAGAGGGAGGGUUCGGACAGGCCGUGGCUGUCGAGUCUAAUCCACAAGUGCAUCAGCACACACCAAACACUGAUUCACUCACCAGAGCAGGAUGUCCUGUCUGAAGAGAGCUGAAACCCUGGACUGCAACUGCACCUGUAGGAGCCCAAGGUGCGCUGAUCCUCCAGAAGAAGAAAUCCUGGUUUACAAAGACACUGGGCACGAUUCUGUUUAUUGACAUGACAGAUCUGCGAACAUCCUCCAUUGUUUAAGGAGCAAGGAGUUAACUCUGCAGUUGAAAGAAACA